GAUGAACGCUGGCGGCGUGCCUAAUACAUGCAAGUCGAGCGAACGGACGAGACGCUUGCUUUUCUGAUGUUAGCGGCGGACGGGAGAGUAACACGUGGAUACCCUCCCUAUAAGACUGGGAUAACUUCGGGAAACCGGAGCUAAUACCGGAUGAUAUUUUGCACCGCAUGGUGCGAAAGUGAAAGACGGUCUUGCUGUAAGUUAUAGAUGGAUCCGCGCUGCAUUAGCUAGUUGGUACGGUAACGGCUUACUAAGGGAACGAUGCGUAUCCGACGUGAGAGGCUGAUCGGCCACACGGGAACGUGGACACGGUCCUGGCGCCUACGAGAGGCCGCAGUAGGGAAUGUUCCGCAAUGGGCGGAAGCCUGACAGAGUAGCGGCGCGUGAGUGAUGAAGGUCUUCGGAUCGUAAUACUGUGUUACGAGUGAUGAACCUAUGUGGAAGUAGCUGUACAGAGCUUGACGGUAACUAAUCAGAAAGCCACGGCUAACUACGUG
rnacentral:rRNA from 1 species